rnacentral:rRNA from 1 species
UACGAAGGGGGCUAGCGUUGCUCGGAAUUACUGGGCGUAAAGCGCACGUAGGCGGACUCUUAAGUCGGUGGUGAAAUCCUGGAGCUCAACUCCAGAACUGCCUUCGAUACUGAGAGUCUCGAGUCCGAGAGAGGUGAGUGGAACUGCGAGUGUAGAGGUGAAAUUCGUAGAUAUUCGCAAGAACACCAGUGGCGAAGGCGGCUCACUGGCCCGAUACUGACGCUGAGGCACGAAAGCGUGGGGAGCAAACAGG